rnacentral:rRNA from 1 species
UGGGAUAACACCGGGAAACCGGUGCUAAUACCGAAUAUUGAAACAUAAGUGGCAUCACUGAGUUUUGAAAGAAUUUCGGUGGAGGAUGACUUCGCGGCCUAUCAGCUAGUUGGUGAGGUAAUGGCUCACCAAGGCAACGACGGGUAGCCGGCCUGAGAGGGCGACCGGCCACACUGGGACUGAGACACGGCCCAGACUCCUACGGGAGGCAGCAGUGGGGAAUAUUGGGCAAUGGAGGAAACUCUGACCCAGCGACGCCGCGUGCGGGAUGAAGGCCUUCGGGUUGUAAACCGCUUUCAGUAGGGAAGAAGCGAAAGUGACGGUACCUACAAAAGAAGCACCGGCUAACUAUGUGCCAGCAGCCGCGGUAAUACAUAGGGUGCAAGCGUUGUCCGGAAUUAUUGGGCGUAAAGAGCUCGUAGGUCGUUUGUUACGUCGGAUGUGAAAACCUGAGGCUCAACCUCAGGCCUGCAUUCGAUACGGGCAAACUAGAGUUUGGUGGGGGAGACUGGAAUUCCUGGUGUAGCGGUGGAAUGCGCA